CACGUAGGGGGCAAGCGUUGUCCGGAUUUAUUGGGCGUAAAGAGCUCGUAGGUGGUUCGGUAAGUCGGGUGUUAAACCCCCAGGCUCAACCUGGGGACGCCACUCGAUACUGCUGUGACUAGAGUCCGGUAGGGGAGCGUGGAAUUCCUGGUGUAGCGGUGAAAUGCGUAGAUAUCAGGAGGAAUACCGGUGGCGAAAGCGACUCUCUGGACGGCAACUGACGCUGAGGCACGAAAGCGUGGGGGAGCAAACAGG
rnacentral:rRNA from 1 species